rnacentral:rRNA from 1 species
AUGGCCGGAAUUGUCAACAAGGAGUUUGCUGAGUUGGCCCAGACGGGGCUGAACUACCUGUCAUGGGCCUCGGACUGUGAGAUCUUUCUCCAGGGCAAAACCCUCCCGAGGGCGAUCCGUAAGGGGACCCAGCUGGCCCCCACUGAUCCCAAGUUCGAAACUGAGAAUGCGCAGGCUCUGCAUUUUCUCCGUCAUCACCUGUCACCUACUCUGAGAGACGAGUAUAUGACUGAGCGGAGUGCUUCUGGCCUUUGGACCGCUCUUAAGCAGCGGUUUGAGCGGCUGAAGUACACUGUGAAGCCACGUGCGGAGGCAUAGUGGAUUCGUCUGAGCUAGAAGAUUGAGAAAACUCUAUCCACUUUCCACCCUGACACGGUCUUGUCCGCACGGAACUACCGCCAGGGCAACUACACAAGGUAUUCAGAGUUGAUUGACGUCCUCUAGGUGGCAGAGGUGCAGGACGAGGUUCUGAAAAAGAACUUUGUCACGCAACCACUUGGGGGAGUUCUCAUCAGGAGGUGAAUGCUCUCAAAGUACGCAAGCCUCAACAGAAGAAGAGGGGCCGCAAGGGGGCAGAGGCCUCAAGACUGCUUCCGGUGUGGCUCGGUAGAGCAUUUCUCCAGCCAGUGUCGCGCACCACAGGAGGUCGUCGAUGCAUAAAAGUCUCGGAAGGCGCGUGAGACGCAUCUCGCCUUGGUUCAGGAGGGAGCACCACUGGUGUCCAUGGCGGCACCCGUGAUGAUCUCUACGCCCCCUGCUGCGCCCGUAGAGGCGAUCCCCGUGGUGCCCACCGCGGUAGCUUUGGCGGUCUCUAGUGACGCCAACAUUGCCAUGGAGGUUGACCACAUGGUCGCCUCGGCGGUGCCACAACUAGAUGUUGAUGUUGCCUCCAAGAUGAUGUCUAAGGAGGAUCAGCUCACUAGUAUGGAGAUUGCGGCUGAAGUCAAUGGCUUCUUCAAUGAGUCUACUUAG